rnacentral:rRNA from 1 species
AUUGAACGCUGGCGGCAGGCCUAACACAUGCAAGUCGAACGAGUGGCGGACGGGAGAGUAAUGUCUGGGAAACUGCCUGAUGGAGGGGGAUAAAUUCUGAAAACGGUAGCAAAUACCGAAUACCCUCAGAUGUGCCCAGAUGGGAUGGGCUUGUUGGUGGGGUAACGGCUCACCAGGGCGACGAUCCCUAGCUGGUCUGAGAGGAUGACCAGCCACACUGUGACUGAGACACGGUCCAGACUCCUACGGGAGGCAGCAGUGGGGAAUAUUUGACAAUGGGCGCAAGCCUGAUGCAGCCAUGCCGCGUGUGUGAAGAAGGCCUGCGGGUUGUAAAGUACUUUCAGCGGGGAGGCGUUACCAGCAGAAUAAGCACCGGCUAACUCCGUGCCAGCAGCCGCGGUAAUUC